rnacentral:rRNA from 1 species
AUUGAACGCUGGCGGCAGGCCCAACACAUGCAAGUCGAACGGUAACAGGAAACAGCUUGCUGUUUCGCUGACGAGUGGCGGACGGGUGAGUAAUGUCUGGGAAACUGCCUGAUGGAGGGGGAUAACUACUGGAAACGGUAGCUAAUACCGCAUAACGUCGCAAGACCAAAGAGGGGGACCCUCGGGCCUCUUGCCAUCGGAUGUGCCCAGAUGGGAUUAGCUUGUUGGUGGGGUAACGGCUCACCAAGGCGACGAUACGUAGCCGACCUGAGAGGGUGAUCGGCCACAUUGGGACUGAGACACGGCCCAA